rnacentral:rRNA from 1 species
UACGUAGGGGGCAAGCGUUGUCCGGAAUCAUUGGGCGUAAAGCGCGUGUAGGCGGUUCGGUAAGUCGGCUGUGAAAGUCCAGGGCUCAACCCUGGGAUGCCGGUCGAUACUGCCGGACUAGAGUUCGGAAGAGGCGAGUGGAAUUCCCGGUGUAGCGGUGAAAUGCGCAGAUAUCUGGAGGAACACCGGUGGCGAAGGUGGCAUCCUGGACCAACACUGACGCUGAGUGAGCGAAAGCCAGGGGAGCAAACGGG